rnacentral:rRNA from 1 species
AUGCCUGCUGCAAGCGUGCCGAUCAGGCCUGCCGUCACCGGAGCAGCCGCGCUCCCCGGCGUGGUCGAGUUGGCCCCGUCAGCGCCCGGCGCCGGCGGGCUGCUCGCGUCGGAUCCAGGGGUGCCCGGCGAUGAUCCGCCUCCCGGUGUACCCGGCGACGGCGCUGGACCAGUCGGCGAUUGUGGCGAGUCCGGGGUUGCCCCGGGUGCAGCCGCCGGAGACAUCGGGCUCGGCAUCGGUGCGGCGGACGGCGGUGUCAUGGAAGGGGGGAACAUCGGGGUGGGCAUCGGCGCGGCGGCCGGCGGUGUCAUGGAAGGAGGAAACAUCGGGCUUGGCAUCGGCGCGGCGGACGGCGGCAUCAUGGAAGGAGGAGACAUCGGGCUGGGCAUCGGCGCGGCGGACGGCGGUGUCAUGGAAGGCGGCGACAUCGGGCUGGGCAUCGGCGCGGCGGACGGCGGCGUCAUGGAAGGAGGCGACGUCGGGCUGGGCAUGGGCGGCGCGGACGACGGCGGCAUGGAGGGGGGAGGGGGCGGCGGCAGGAGGCCCGGCGGCGUGUGGUCGACGGAGAGCACGACGACGAUGAGCUUCUGCUCGGCCUUGCAGCUGGCCUCGUUGCCGCUGAUGAAGAAGAAGGGGCCGGAGCGGUCGAGCGUGAAGACGGUGCUGCCGCCCUGGAACUUGCUCACGUAG